rnacentral:rRNA from 1 species
AACGAACGCUGGCGGCAUGCCUAACACAUGCAAGUCGAACGAGACCUUCGGGUCUAGUGGCGCACGGGUGCGUAACGCGUGGGAACCUGCCUUUAGGUUCGGAAUAACUCAGAGAAAUUUGAGCUAAUACCGGAUGAUGUCUUCGGACCAAAGAUUUAUCGCCUUUAGAUGGGCCCGCGUUGGAUUAGCUAGUUGGUGGGGUAAAGGCCUACCAUGGCGACGAUCCAUAGCUGGUCUGAGAGGAUGAUCAGCCACACUGGGACUGAGACACGGCCCAGACUCCUACGGGAGGCAGCAGUGGGGAAUAUUGGACAAUGGGCGAAAGCCUGAUCCAGCAAUGCCGCGUGAGUGAUGAAGGCCUUAGGGUUGUAAAGCUCUUUUACCCGAGAUGAUAAUGACAGUAUCGGGAGAAUAAGCUCCGGCUAACUCCGUG